GACGGAACGCUGGCGGCGCGCCUAACACAUGCAAGUCGAACGGAGUUGUGUUGAAAGCUUGCUGGAUAUACAACUUAGUGGCGGACGGGUGAGUAACACGUGAGUAACCUGCCUCUCAGAGUGGAAUAACGUUUGGAAACGAACGCUAAUACCGCAUAACGUGAGAAGAGGGCAUCCUCUUUUUACCAAAGAUUUCAUCGCUGAGAGAUGGGCUCGCGGCCGAUUAGGUAGUUGGUGAGAUAACAGCCCACCAAGCCGACGAUCGGUAGCCGGACUGAGAGGUUGAUCGGCCACAUUGGGACUGAGACACGGCCCAG
rnacentral:rRNA from 1 species